rnacentral:rRNA from 1 species
CAUGCGGCAGCUACACAUGCAAGUCGAGCGGUAACAGGGGUAGCUUGCUACCCGCUGACGAGCGGCGGACGGGUGAGUAAUGCAUAGGAAUCUGCCCGAUAGUGGGGGAUAACCUGGGGAAACCCAGGCUAAUACCGCAUACGUCCUACGGGAGAAAGGGGGCUCCGGCUCCCGCUAUUGGAUGAGCCUAUGUCGGAUUAGCUAGUUGGUGAGGUAAUGGCUCACCAAGGCAACGAUCCGUAGCUGGUCUGAGAGGAUGAUCAGCCACAUCGGGACUGAGACACGGCCCGAACUCCUACGGGAGGCAGCAGUGGGGAAUAUUGGACAAUGGGCGAAAGCCUGAUCCAGCCAUGCCGCGUGUGUGAAGAAGGCCUUCGGGUUGUAAAGCACUUUCAGCGAGGAAGAACGCCUAGUGGUUAAUACCCAUUAGGAAAGACAUCACUCGCAGAAGAAGCACCGGCUAACUCCGUGCCAGCAGCCGCGGUAAUACGGAGGGUGCAAGCGUUAAUCGGAAUUACUGGGCGUAAAGCGCGCGUAGGUGGCUUGAUAAGCCGGUUGUGAAAGCCCCGGGCUCAACCUGGGAACGGCAUCCGGAACUGU